UGAUCUCAGUGAAAAUCAAAUUCAAGCAAUUCCAAGGAAAGCUUUCCGUGGGGCAGUUGACAUUAAAAAUCUGCAACUGGAUUACAACCAGAUCAGCUGCAUUGAAGACGGAGCAUUUAGAGCUCUAAGAGAUCUAGAAGUACUCACACUCAACAAUAACAAUAUUACUAGACUUUCAGUGGCAAGUUUCAACCAUAUGCCUAAACUUAGGACAUU